rnacentral:lncRNA from 1 species
GCCGGGGCGUCCCCCGCGGGAGCCCGCAGCCACCCGGGACGCGCAUCCAGACGUGGCGCUUCGGACCGGGCACGCUGCGCCCGGGGGCUCGGCGGACCCCGCGUAGCCGCCGCUUCGGAGCUUGUGCGGCGCGGGCUGGCCAGCGGGGCGGCCAGGGCCCGGCCCGCCUCCCCAGCGCCCGCCCGGCUUCUCCCCCUGGCGGUGGGAGCCUCGGCGGCCGCUGGCGACACUAGGCGCACUGAAGCCCGAGCCGAGCCGAGCCCGAGCCGCCGCCGCCGCCGCCGCUGCUGCGCACCGCUCCCGGGCUCCCUCCCAGCGCGCCGGCCGGGGUGUGGGGGGCGGCGGGCCGGAGGGGCGAGGGCGGGCCAGGGGGCGCACACGGGGGUUGGCGCGGAAGACAGGACCCUCAGCCUCGAGGGAGCCCCUAGGUGACCAGGCAAAAUGGCAGUUCCUUCCAGCUGGUCCUCAGAUGGGCACAUCUAUUAGCCUCUGCUCUUGUAAGAAGUUAGCUGCAGAACCCACAUGUGAAUCCUUGUAGGACUCUGGAGAAGAUCAAAUGGGAGCUUAGAUGUGGAAGCUCUUUGGAAACCAAGAAACACUCUGAAAAUGAAAAGGGUGGAAGAGUAAACUGUUCCUGUUUCUCCAUCUUGACAGGAAGCAGAAGUUCUCCUUAGCUGAUUUUUCUUCUUGCCUUAUACUGGGUUCUUUAACACCAGAACAAAAAUAAAUAAAUAAAA